UCGGAUAUGGUGUAUCGGUUAGCAUCACCCGCUUUCAUUUAUAAUGGAUUGCACCGGGUAGAGCCGGGUUCGACUCCCGGUAUCCGAA